ACAGGGGAAGAUGUCAAGGACGAUAAUCUUCACCUCUGGUGCAGGGAGCAGAUUUUUCAGUGGCCCCAACAUUCCAGAGUGACCAAGCUUCCACAACUGCUUUAUGGAGGCCCCUGUGGCAAAAUUCACCACCGUCCGUCCACGCACAGCCUCUUUCUGGACUUUUGAAUCUGCAGCGUUGAAUUCAGCCUGUGUUGUAAAAGCGGAAGACGAGGAACUCAUAGGCAAGGGAAAGAUCUGAGAUUUCCUGGAUGUCUCGAUCACUCGAGGAAAACCACAAGUGCAGGCCCAGCUUCUAGAAAUUCUGGAAGCAAGCUGGACUCGAGGCUCAAAUUACCAACUACCUCGGACGGGCAAAGAGCAAAUGAACACCAACCUACGCAAAUGACUUAAUGCUGGCAAGUAAGGCCGGGACUGAAGGAAAAGGUUUCUAAAAUCUGUGAAACAGAAGAGCAACUGUUAAACAGAAGAAUAAAUAAAUAAAAGAAAAAAAUAAAUAAAGGGCUGGAGAGAUGGCUUAGUGGUUAAGCGCUUGCCUGUGAAGCCAAAGGACCCUGGUUCGAGGCUUGAUUCCCCAGGACCCAAGUAA